rnacentral:rRNA from 1 species
AGUGAACGCUGGCGGUAGGCCUAACACAUGCAAGUCGAACGGCAGCACAGUAAGAGCUUGCUCUUACGGGUGGCGAGUGGAGGACGGGUGAGGAAUACAUCGGAAUCUACUAUUUCGUGGGGGAAAACGUAGGGAAAGUUACGCUAAUACCGCAUACGACCUACGGGGGAAAGAAGGGGAACUUCGGACCUUGCGCGAUUGAAUGAGCCGAUGUCGGAUUAGCUAGUUGGCGGGGUAAAGGCCCACGAAGGAGACGAUCCGUAGCUGGUCUGAGAGGAUGACCAGCCACACUGGAACUGGACCACGGUCCAGACUCCUACGGGAGGCGGCGGUGGGGAAUUUUGGACAAUGAGCGAAAGCCUGAUCCAGACAUCCCGCGUGGGUGAAGAAGCCCUUCGGGUUGUAAAGCCCUUUAUUCGGGAAGGAAAAGCCGUAUGUUAAUACCCAGCUGUUCUGACGGUACCCAAAGAGUAAGCCCCGGCUAACUUCGUG